rnacentral:tRNA from 1 species
GGUGGCUCAGUGGUAGAGUGCUUGCCUCAUGUGCAUAAGGCCCUGGGUUCAAUUCCUCAGCACCA